rnacentral:rRNA from 1 species
GAUGAACGCUGGCGGCGUGCCUAAUACAUGCAAGUCGAGCGAACGGACGAGAAGCUUGCUUCUCUGAUGUUAGCGGCGGACGGGUGAGUAACACGUGGAUAACCUACCUAUAAGACUGGGAUAACUUCGGGAAACCGUAGCUAAUACCGGAUAAUAUUUUGAACCGCAUGGUUCAAAAGUGAAAGACGGUCUUGCUGUCACUUAUAGAUGGAUCCGCGCUGCAUUAGCUAGUUGGUAAGGUAACGGCUUACCAAGGCAACGAUGCAUAGCCGACCUGAGAGGGUGAUCGGCCACACUGGAACUGAGACACGGUCCAGACUCCUACGGGAGGCAGCAGUAGGGAAUCUUCCGCAAUGGGCGAAAGCCUGACGGAGCAACGCCGCGUGAGUGAUGAAGGUCUUCGGAUCGUAAAACUCUGUCAUUAGGGAAGAACAUAUGUGUAAGUAACUGUGCACAUCUUGACGGUACCUAAUCAGAAAGCCACGGCUAACUACGU